AGUAAAGUCAGCUAACAAAGCUAUUGG
rnacentral:tRNA from 10 species